AAACGUCUACAAAACCUGUACACCAGUUCCUGUGUUCAAACGUGCUCGCUCCACACAAGCACCGAGCAAUCGCGUGACACACGUGAAACGACGAUCUUACUACCAUCGUCGUUUCUUUCAUUCAGACAUCGGUUCGAUGUGAUUGGGCCUGAAGGAUCUCAAACAUCUGUAUCCUGCAGGAGACUGUGAAUGAUCUGAGAACGGCCUCGACGACUUUCACUUCGAUUCUGCUAGAAGUGGAACGGACGCAACAAGUGGUUUCACAUGUACAGAUAUAUUAGCCUUCGAUUUCCUAUAUUUUCAGUCACGUUAUUGCUUUCGGAUAUUAUUUCUGUUCAUUUUUGCGCGCUAGAAUCAACAAGAACUGCAAAAAUUCCUUCGCUUGUUUGCAAGAAGCGAGAAGACGAGUCUAGAAAUCCACUAAUUUUCGACUGGCGCGUACGAUUCACGGUCGAGAACCUCAGGUGUACCCAGUUCGGUUAUUCGAGGCGUGGGCGAUCCAGAACGAGUGGCAGCACGCAAAAAGAAAGGAAGAACUCUGGAUGGGCUAAAGGAUAUCAAUCGCACGGCACCGAAACCCCGACGGCGUUCGUCGGUGCACGUCACGUGCAAUUAAGCAUCUAUAAAGCUAAAUUAUUUAUUCAUUACCGGUGUUUUGCAACGAACCAGAAGAUUUGUAUCUGUCAUCGUGCGAUGCGUUGAAAUUUUAUUAUUAUUUGAGCGUUUCAUUUUAUUUUACUCUUUAACAGUAUAUUUCAUGUUAGUUUUAUCUGUUAGUUAGUCUAAUGACAAACAGUAAUGUAAAAGUUUAAUUAAUAUUUGUAUUCGAUUUGAACUUAAAUUGUACGCACAGGGAGAAUAAUAUUAUCUUAAAAAACAUCUAAUAGAAAAGCUCA